UUCUUCGGGGCAGGGUGAGAUUCCCUACCGACGGUGAGCCCGGCUGAUGCCGGGGAGUCCGUGAGCUGCCUGCGGCGGCUGAUCCGGUGUAAAUCCGGAACCGACAGUACAGUCUGGAAGGGAGAAGAA
rnacentral:ncRNA from 1 species